UAGCUCAGUUGGUAAAGAAUCUGCCUGCAAUGCAGGAGACCCAGGUUCAGUUCCUGG
rnacentral:tRNA from 1 species